UACAAUUUCAGUGCUAAACAUCUAACGUUCACUGUCUCACGCAUCAUGGAAGAGGGGAACGUCUUCCCCUCCCUGACUUUGUUACUGAUGAGGAGGGCAACAAUGGUCCUGGAGAUGAUAUGCCUGGGAUGACCUCAUUGUCUACCGAGGUGUGCGUUGGUGGUGAU